GUCGGCAGCGGCCUCCGAGCAGAUCGGACUCUCCUUAUUCGCCCAUCUUGCUCAGCUCCUUCCAACCACCAUGUCUGACAAACUCGAUAUGGCUGAGAUCGAGAAAUUCGAUAAGUCGAAGUUGAAGAAGACAGGAACGCAAGAGAAAAGUCCUCUGCCUUCAAAAGAAACAAUUGAACAAGAGAAGCAAGCUGGUAAUGAGGUAAUGAGGCGAGCGCCGCCAAUAUGCACAGUACAUUCCGCGAGCGUUGCCUUCUUAUUUUACUUCCCUGAGCUGUUUAACUUCAUAAGAUGCAAAGAGGUUGGAUCAAGUUUAAAUGACUGUGCUGCCCCUGUCACAUCAAAGAAUCAGAACUGCUGACCAGGAAAGCCUCCCCCCCCCCCCCCCCCCCGCCUCUCCCGCCCACCUGCUGGCCUGGCUGGCAGAGAGGGAAAAGAACUUGCAUGUUGGUGAAGGAAAAGGCUGGGUGGGAGACGGUGGAAUUGAGAGUAAAAUAAAGAUGGCCCAACAUGUCCUGCAGGAUAUAAAAAUGGAGUUUAAUCAGGGUGCCAUUUUUUUUUUGUUCAAACGAUUUUAAUUAUUGGAAUGCACAAUUUUUAAUAUGCAAAUGAAGUUUUAAAACCUGAAAAAAUAAUUUUAAAGAAGU
rnacentral:lncRNA from 1 species